GGAACUGAUGAAGCUAAGAAGCUGGGUCGGGCGGAGGGAUACGUUUCCAUGGGAACGCCAGAUCUAGCCAGUAAACCCUCGGACUUCCCCGCGGUGUCCCGCCCUCUCCUCUCCCCCUUUUCCUGUACCCUCCUCAUUAUCCUUCCCUUCUCCCUCCCUUCUUUCCCCGUACUAGGGACCCCCAACUCUAGCAAUCUUACUAUAGGUACCUCUAAGACCGGCGUUAUGAAAGGCUGUAAAAUUUAACCGCUGAUGUUGCAGUUGUCGCCGCCUUUCUGCUGGGGGACCUGGCCUAAACUGCUGCUCAGUCAUCUUUGAGGCUCAUCAGAGACAGGCGGUGGGUGUAGUGAUGAAGAGGAGGAGCUCCGUGGAGUGUGCCAGAGUUGGGUUUGAAGCCGGGCUCCACUAUUGGUUAGCUGCCUAGCCUUGAAGACAAAAACAAUCUGACGCGUGUAAGAAGCAACAACUCAGAAGAAGAAAUUUUCUUCGUGAAAAGUUUAUCUACAGGAAUCCGCAAAUCAAAUGCUGAAACCUUCUUAAAGGUUCUACGCAAGAGCAUUUGUCUGUGGAAUGGGGAGAUAACGUAUUCAUGAGCAAUGGGGAGAUUGUUGCUUUUUAUUACAAAGUUUAGUCUUUGCAGCUAAUUUCUAUAAGAUUAAGUACACCUUUUUUUAAAAAGGCAAGUAGAAAACCUAUUCUCAAGCCAGUGGCAAAUGGGUACAUACACUGCAACUCAAAUAGACGAGUUUAGACUGCAUAUGAAAGAAAUGGUUUGGAACACAGAGAAACAGGAUGAAUUGUAUUAAAUCAUUAGUCUAACCACUUCGUUUUUCAAAUGAGACUAAGACCAAGAAUUGUAGCAUGGCGAAUGCAGUGGUUCCCAAAUCUUCCCACAAGGACUGUCAGAACUUUGAUAAAAAUAUCUCCCAAUUCCAGAAAAAUUGGAAAUAUUGCCAACCACUCUUUCCUGAAAAAGCCAUCUUUUAUUCUGUGACUAUGUCUUUCUUACUCUUUUAAAUGUUCCUCUUCGCAUUUUUUUUAAAUUUUUUUAACGUUUAUUUAUUUUUGAGACAGAGAGAGACAGAGCAUG